CCUACGGGAGGCAGCAGUGAGGAAUAUUGGUCAAUGGACGCAAGUCUGAACCAGCCAUGCCGCGUGCAGGAAGACGGCUCUAUGAGUUGUAAACUGCUUUUGUACGAGGGUAAACGCAGAUACGUGUAUCUGUCUGAAAGUAUCGUACGAAUAAGGAUCGGCUAACUCCGUGCCAGCAGCCGCGGUAAUACGGAGGAUUCAAGCGUUAUCCGGAUUUAUUGGGUUUAAAGGGUGCGUAGGCGGGCGGAUAAGUUAGAGGUGAAAUCCCGAGGCUCAACUUCGGAAUUGCCUCUGAUACUGUUAGGCUAGAGAGUAGUUGCGGUAGGCGGAAUGUAUGGUGUAGCGGUGAAAUGCUUAGAGAUCAUACAGAACACCGAUUGCGAAGGCAGCUUACCAAGCUACGUCUGACGUUGAGGCACGAAAGCGUGGGGAGCAAACAGGAUUAGAUACCCUUGUAGUC
rnacentral:rRNA from 1 species